GCACUUAGAGUGUCCGUCGGGAACCAAUCCCUAGCGGCUCCGAUUCGGAUAUGCAGGGUGCUGGUGGGCGGAGUCAAAGCUUGGAGAGUCUGUUAGCCAAUCCUAAGGGUUCUCGCACCGGUGUGGCCCGCCUCUAGUCCCGCCCCCUCAGAAGGUGCUUCCUGCGGACGGCAGCUCCGGUAACUGCCGAACGGUGGCGCACAGUGCUCGCUGAAGAGCCAGGAAAGGCGGUUCCACGCGCCCACGAUGAUUGGCAGAGGCAUUGGGGCGGGGAUAAAAUGGGUUCCUGCAAGGUGACUGGUUAUCGCCGGUGAGGAGCGGAAAUUGUGCGCCAGCGCGGUGGGCGUGAGGAGGAAGUGAGGACGCUGGUGGCCUGGGCGCUGGGCGCUGGGCGGCUGGUGCGUGGCCCUGGCAACAACUUCGCCGCGUCAGCGAAGCGGGCGACCCGCGAGCGCGUUGUGAACGUUGUGAACGUUUGCCUGCCAGCUGAGGGGAGACGGAGCGGCGACGCUGGUUCGAAUCCUGCCGCGGUUCCCACUGGGGACAUCGCGAGGUUUCACGUUGGUCGCCGUGGCGGUGGGAGUUGGGGCCGGAGGAACGAGGUUCGAGUCCCGGCCCUGCAGCGGAGGCUGGAAAGCGCCCAGUGGAAAGUACACAGAGCCACACACCUGGCUUGACAGUUGUUGUGCUGUGGGUGGAACUCCGGGCCUCACUAUGCUAGGCAGCACCUGCAAAUCCCAUUUCAAAGCAAGACAACCGGGUGGAAUUGUUAUUUGCGUUGCUGAGGAUGGAACUGACACGUACUAGGCAAGUGGGAAAAAAAGCAGUAGUACCUGGCUGCACACCCCUGUCGUUGCAGCCUAUUGGGAGGCAGAGGCAGAAGGACUGACAGCUGGAGUUGCCUGGGCAACUUAGUGAGGCCAUUGAAACUCUGUCUCAAAAAAUAAAAAGGGGUGAGGAGGUAAUUCAUUACAGAGGCGCCGAGUUCAGCCCUCAGCACAAAAACACAAAGCCUUCAAAAUAAAACACCUGAGAUACCGCACGUCUUUUUACACAGUGAGAAGGCUUCCAGAUCUUGGGAACCUGUAAUUGUGCAUAUGACUCUCCACUCUUUAUAUUUUUCAGCCAGGGUCUUGCAGGGUAGGGCAGACUGGCCUCGAAGUCACAGAGAUCCUCCUGUCUCAGUCUCCCAGAUGCUGAGGUCAAGGUGUGUGGCAUCUGUACGCACCUCCCUGGGCGAGAAUCUCCAUUCACUGACUACAGUUGACCCGGCUUCCUAAAGUCUGCAGUUGAAAAUACCGAAUCGCUCACCUCAGCUAUUGCUGGAAUACUUUGGUGUCUUCCAGUUUGCAAGCUCAAAUCGCAUAUGGCUUUUUCACAGUUUGAAUUUGAGGUAGCUGUAAUCCGAAUCUACAUUGCUCAGUGGCAUUGAAUUAGAAGCAAGUUAGAUUGUAAAGUCCCAUUUCAGUGUCGCACUGGCCUCCGUCAUGAUUACCUGUGACACGUGGCUGCUGGGCUGUGGGGUGGGAAAGGCAGGAAAUAUUUGGCCACAGCCAGGAAUGAGGAUUUUGCUUACAGUGGGGUCUAGCCCUGACCUCAGACCUGCCAAACCCACUUUACCGUUCAGAUCUAUCAGGUACCUCUGGGGCAAGGCCUCUGCCCAAACCUUCUUAGUGGUAUGUCCAGCGCCUGUUGUCCCAGCAUUCAGGAGGCUGAGGCAGGAGGACCUCUGAGUUAGAGGUCAGCCUGGACUCUGUAGUGAGACCAUGUUUCAAAUGAAGCACAAAAAAACUUCUUAGCAGCUCUCAGCAGGGCUGGUGCCUUGUCAUUAGGUGUCUCAGUUCAAGGUCCCCUCCUCAGCCUUCCCCCAGUAGCCCCUAAAUCCUGUACUGAUCCCUGCCCUGCAUCCAUCACCUGGCCAUCUCUGUGGCCUCAGUAGAGUUUAAGGCUUCACAGUGUCAGGCAUUUUUUAUUUUUUUGUAUCCACUUCUCACAUUAAGUAUAAAAGGCUGUCUUUUGGCUGUUAAAAAAAAUCUUUUGCAGCUAUUUGACAGAAGGGAAAUUCACAUUUCUAUUUGGUUUGAUUCCUUGGCAGUCUUGGACAUACUUGGAACUUUUUGUGAUCAAGAUAAUCUCUAAAUUAUCUUCAAAUGGAAUUUGACUGUUAUGAAUAUUAAAUUUAAUGCUGAUUGAAAUUGUCACAGUUAAAAAAAUAAGGCUAGGGGCUGGGGAUUUAGAUCAGCGGCAUAAGCGCCUGCCUUGCAAGCAGGCAGUCGUGAGUUCGAUCCCUGGUACCGGUAAAAACGAAAAAGACAAAAAAAAAAAAAAUAAGGCUGGUCCGAAGGUAGUGAGUUAUCUCAAUUGAUUGUUCACAGUCAGUACAGAUUGAACUCCUUGUUCUACUCUUUCCCCCCUUCUCACUACUGCACUUGACUAAUCUUAAAAACAAAUAAAUAGAUAAAUAAAUAAGAAA